UACGUAGGGUGCGAGCGUUAAUCGGAAUUACUGGGCGUAAAGCGUGCGCAGGCGGUUGUGCAAGACAGAUGUGAAAUCCCCGGGCUCAACCUGGGAACUGCAUUUGUGACUGUAGAGCUGGAGUACGGUAGAGGGGGAUGGAAUUCCGCGUGUAGCAGUGAAAUGCGUAGAUAUGCGGAGGAACACCGAUGGCGAAGGCAAUCCCCUGGACCUGUACUGACGCUCAUGCACGAAAGCGUGGGGAGCAAACAGG
rnacentral:rRNA from 1 species